rnacentral:tRNA from 1 species
ACCUAACUGACUCAGUUGGUGGAGUGUGCGACUCUUGAUCUUGGGAUUGUGGGUUCAAGCCCCACGUUGAGUG